rnacentral:rRNA from 1 species
CUACGGGAUGCUCCAGUGAGGAAUAUUGCACAAUGGGGGGAACCCUGAUGCAGCAACGCCGCGUGGAGGAUGACGCAUUUCGGUGUGUAGACUCCUUUUAUAUGUCAAGAAAAUGACGGUAGCAUAUGAAUAAGCACCGGCUAACUCCGUGCCAGCAGCCGCGGUAAUACGGAGGGUGCAAGCGUUACUCGGGAUCACUGGGCGUAAAGGACGCGUAGGCGGGUUGGAAAGUCAGGUGUGAAAUCCUACAGCUUAACUGUAGAACUGCACUUGAAACUUCUAAUCUAGAGUAUGGGAGGGGGAGAUGGAAUUAGUGGUGUAGGGGUAAAAUCCGUAGAUAUCACUAGGAAUACCUAAAGCGAAGGCGAUCUCCUGGAACAUUACUGACGCUAAGGCGUGAAAGCGUGGGGAGCAAACAGGAUUAGAUACCCGUGUAGUC